AGAACAAGUAUCCAUUGCCGAGGAUUGAUGAUCUAUUUGAUCAACUCCAGGGAUCUUGUGUAUAUUCCAAGAUUGACUUGCAGUCGGGAUAUCACCAGUUGAGAAUCAGACCUGAGGAUGUGUCGAAGACGGCUUUUAGAACACGGUAUGGACAUUAUGAAUUCACCGUUAUGCCGUUUGGGCUUACUAAUGCCCCGGCAGCUUUUAUGGAUCUGAUGAACCGUGUUUUCAAGCCUUAUUUAGAUAGUUUCGUUGUAGUGUUUAUCGACGACAUCUUAGUGUAUUCCCGGAGUGACGCGGAUCACGAGGAACACUUGAGACUUGUACUUCAAGUGCUUCGGGAAAAGAAGCUCUAUGCCAAGUUGAAAAAGUGUGAAUUUUGGCUUAGAGAGGUGGCGUUUUUGGGCCAUGUGAUUUCAGGAUCAGGCAUAGCCGUGGACCCGAGGAAAAUUGAAGCUAUCAAGGAUUGGCCGAGGCCGACGAGCGUGACCGAGAUACGGAGCUUCAUUGGUUUGGCCGGCUACUACCGACGGUUUGUCGAGGGAUUUGCUAAGUUAUCUACUCCCCUCACAAGACUCACGCAUAAGGGCACCAAGUUUAUUUGGAACGAUGCGUGUGAAAGGAGCUUCCAAGAGUUGAAGCAGCGAUUGACGACUGCCCCGAUCCUUACCUUGCCGACUACUGGAGCAGGGUAUGUGAUUUAUAGUGAUGCUUCCUUUAAUGGAUUGGGCUGUGUUUUGAUGCAGGACGGGAAAGUGAUCGCGUAUGCAUCUCGCCAAUUGAAGGAUUAUGAAAGGAAUUAUCCCACUCACGACUUGGAGUUGGCGGCCGUAGUCUUUGCAUUGAAGCUAUGGCGCCAUUACCUCUAUGGCGAGCGAUGCGAAGUAUAUACGGAUCACAAGAGCUUAAAAUAUCUUUUCACUCAGAAGGAGCUGAACUUGAGGCAGCGCAGAUGGUUGGAGCUACUCAAGGAUUAUGACUUGACUAUACUUUACCACCCGGGCAAGGCUAACGUGGUGGCGGACGCGCUAAGUCGGAAAUCGACUGAGAACUUAGCGAUGCUUGUGGUUACUCAACCGCCGUUGAUCGAGCAGAUGAAGCGGUUGGAGUUGGAGCUGGUGGCUCCUGAUACACCUUUGAGACUGAUGACACUGGUGGUGCAACCUACGCUUUUGGAAAGGAUUAAAGAAAAGCAAGCUUCCGACUCGGAGCUGCAAAAGAUUCGAGCUAAGAUGGUUGAUGGUUGCACCGGUGACUUCACUUUAGACGGUGAUGGAUUGAUGCGUUUCCGCGGACGACUUUGUGUACCGGCGGACUUGGGCAUUAAAGAGGACAUUCUUCAAGAGGCACACCGAGCACCGUAUGCUAUACAUCCGGGAGGCACCAAGAUGUAUAAGGAUUUGAAACUACUUUAUUGGUGGCCCGGGAUGAAAAAGGAUGUUGGUGAGUUUCUUGCCAGAUGUUUGACUUGCCAACAGGUGAAGGCGGAGCACCGAGUUCCUGCGGGAAAAUUGCAAAGCCUGCCGAUUCCAGUGUGGAAGUGGGAGAAGAUCACCAUGGAUUUCGUGAUGGGAUUGCCUCGCUCACAGGCUGGGCACGACGCAAUUUGGGUGAUUGUGGAUAGAUUGACGAAAUCGGCGCAUUUCAUACCUAUUCAUACUACUUGGACUGGUAAGAGACUCGCACAGAUUUAUUUGGAUGAGAUUGUGCGAUUGCACGGGGUACCUACUUCUAUAGUAUCGGAUCGAGACCCACGUUUUGUAUCCCACUUUUGGAAGAGCUUACAGGACGCUCUGGGUACGCGUUUGGACUUCAGUACAGCUUUCCACCCCCCGAGUGACGGGCAGUCGGAGCGUACGAUACAGACUCUUGAGGAUAUGCUUCGAGCCUGCGUGAUCGACUUCCAGGGAGGAUGGUCGCAGCAUCUACCGAUGGCCGAGUUUGCUUAUAACAACAGUUAUCAAGCAAGCAUCAAGAUGGCACCAUUCGAGGCACUCUAUGGACGGAAGUGUAGGUCGCCGCUUCAUUGGAGUGAAGUUGGCGAGAGAUUGGCCUUAGGCCCAGAUGUGCUCCAGGAAGCAGAGGACAAGGUUCGUAUUGCUCGGGAGCGAUUGUUGACAGCCCAGAGUAGGCAGAGGAGUUAUGCUGAUCGGCGUCGACGAGACUUGGAGUUUCAUAUUGGAGACCAUGUGUUCUUAAAAGUCUCGCCGACCAAAGGAAUUAGAAGAUAUGGAAUCCGCGGUAAGUUGAGCCCCUGAUACAUUGGACCGUUUGAGGUUUUGGAACGGAUAGGCCCGGUAGUGUAUCGACUCGCUCUACCGCCAAACCUAUCGGGUGUACACAAUGUGUUNNNNNNNNNNNNNNNNNNNNNNNNNNNNNNNNNNNNNNNNNNNNNNNNNNNNNNNNNNNNNNNNNNNNNNNNNNNNNNNNNNNNNNNNNNNNNNNNNNNNNNNNNNNNNNNNNNNNNNNNNNNNNNNNNNNNNNNNNNNNNNNNNNNNNNNNNNNNNNNNNNNNNNNNNNNNNNNNNNNNNNNNNNNNNNNNNNNNNNNNNNNNNNNNNNNNNNNNNNNNNNNNNNNNNNNNNNNNNNNNNNNNNNNNNNNNNNNNNNNNNNNNNNNNNNNNNNNNNNNNNNNNNNNNNNNNNNNNNNNNNNNNNNNNNNNNNNNNNNNNNNNNNNNNNNNNNNNNNNNNNNNNNNNNNNNNNNNNNNNNNNNNNNNNNNNNNNNNNNNNNNNNNNNNNNNNNNNNNNNNNNNNNNNNNNNNNNNNNNNNNNNNNNNNNNNNNNNNNNNNNNNNNNNNNNNNNNNNNNNNNNNNNNNNNNNNNNNNNNNNNNNNNNNNNNNNNNNNNNNNNNNNNNNNNNNNNNNNNNNNNNNNNNNNNNNNNNNNNNNNNNNNNNNNNNNNNNNNNNNNNNNNNNNNNNNNNNNNNNNNCAUGUGUGAACCUAGUGGAUAGGGCCAUUGAGGGACAUGGGAUGCACGUUGGAUAUCAAAUUGCCUAAGUGUCAUCAAGGGGCACUAGGCGUAGCAAAAGCUGAAAAUUCACAUUAUGCCUUAAACUAGAUCUUCGGGAUGCUAGUGACUAUACCAUGUUAGAGACAUGAGGAUUGGAUACUUGAGACUUGGACUUUGCUUGCUUGCCAUUUGUGCUCAUUCGCACAUGCUUGUGAGGGUCGCUCCCUACAAGCCGGCACUCCGGAGUUAGCCUACGCGACUUAUGUACGCUCGUGCGGUAUUGAGAAGCCUACGGGGUCGAGUGGGACAGACACAUUCCAUGUGUAGGAAUGUCGAGCUACCACAGGCACUUAGGCGGCACAAGCUGGACUACCUUGGGUGGGUCCCUAAUUGGAAAUGGAAAUCGACACGGUUUGAGAAUGAACAAUCACUACUAGAUAGGUUUAGUAGUUGGAUUACAUUUACAUGCAUAUAACAUAGGGUUGAGACUUGUAGCAUACCUGACAGUUACCUAUUUCUAUUGGCCUAGUGGCCCUAAUCGUCUAUUAGAUUUUGAUGAUAACAAAUAAUCACGAUUAUUGGACUAAUCUUUUUAUCUUGAGUCUUGUGUUUUAGAUCUCUCUAUCUUCAAAAAUGAUUCAAGAUGGGCAAUAUUCUAGCACCAAGCUUCACCUCUUGAAGCUGUGUUUGCUUCUUUUGUCAAAUAGACAAACUCACUCUCUCCAUUCUUAAUUUGAUUAAUAUUAUGCUUAUGAUUAGAGUGAGAAACUUUGAGUUAAGUUUAAACUAUUCAUCUUAUCACCUUUUAGAUCACUUAAACAAAUUUCUAAAUUUAUGAUUAGGUGAAAAGGACUUUUAAAUAUUCAAAAAUUGCUCAAAUUCUGUGUUCUGUAAAGUUGCAAUUUCUGGACCCUGUUCUAGGCGCCCGAAAGUGGAUCCGAAUCUUUUGAAACCUUUUGGAUCCUGCCUGUUUGCUGUUCGGGUGAUCCAGAAACACCAAGAAUAUUUGACUUGACAGGUUGCGAAAACAGGCGGCGCGAAAUCUGGACGCCCAGAUUUUAUGGAAGUAGCGGCGCACGCAAUCUGGGCUGUCUGGCAAGAAAGUCAGCACGACUUUCUGGGCGCCCACAACUUUUGACGGCGCGAAUCCAGAAAAACGGCGCAUGUCAGAAAAGUUGCCCCUCGAGAUCUGGGCGCCCACAACUUUCUGACGGCCCAAAUCCAGAGGAAGCGGGGCCUGUCAGAAAAGCUGUUCCUCGUGUUCUGUGCGCCCACAACUUUUGACGGCCCAGAACUUACGAAGUCAAGAAAAGCUGCGCGUGUCAGAAAAGCUGUUCCUCGAGAUCUGGGCGCCCACAAAUUUUUGACGGCCCAAACAUACAAAGUCAAGAAAAGCGGCGCACGUGGUCUGACAGGCAGCUGGCGUGCACAAACUUCUGGGCGCCCGAAAACAGUUUUAGGGCGCCCGAAAGUACAACUGACAGAUCUGUCCGAGGCUAUAAAUAGAUGGUAUUGAGGCCUCACUCUGCAGCAACUUGAUAGUUCAUUUGAGCAUAAAAACAUCAGUGAUCUUAAUACUCUUAGCUCUCAAUUCUCUCUCUAAACUUGAGUGAAACUUGUAGUGAGAUUUAAUCUUGUAAAAAGAGAGAAAAGCAAAGUCUUGAAGCUUGAAAAAGAAGGUGUUGGUGUGAAGGCUUGGUGCUUGCCCGCAAAAGCAUCAUCUAGUGGAGAUCCAACAUUCUCGAGUGUUGAGAAGUUGGCGGGGACGUAGGCAAAGUGCCGAACCUCGAAACAAAUUGAUCCUGUGCUUUUCGAGUUUGCAUUUCCUUAAACUUCUCUCUUUUAUUUGCAUCGGGUUUUUAAUUGGUUUGAUUAUUUGGAUUUUUAUUUUAGAAACCUAAUUCACCCCCCUCUUAGGUUGUCAUUUCGAUCCUCAAUUGGUAUCAGAGCGAGGUCUCACAUUAUUUAGAUUAAAAUCUAAGUGAGAAUGGCAUCCACGGGAAAGAAUAUCGAAGGACAAUCUAUUGUUCGGCCACCAUUUUUUGAUGGGACCGAUUAUCCUUUUUGGAAGAUUAGAAUGAAGAUAUUCUUUCAAUCUCUAGAUUUUGAUAUUUGGGAUAUAAUCGAAAUUGGUUAUAUCGCUCCAUCAAAAUCAAGAGCGGAAUGGAAUGAAGCCGAAAAAUUUCGUUUUCAAUUAAAUGCUAAAGCUANUAUUUCACUCGUAUAUCUUGUGGAUUACUUGCUCUUCUUGUUGUUGGCACUGUUUGUGCCCUCGUUGAAUGUGUAUGUUUAGAGUUUAAAGUCCUGGGUAAAUUCUUGUACACAUUCUUGUUGUGGAGCAUUGGGCGGGCAGGGGAGGUGCUGUCCGUUCGGCGGUCUGUCACCGCGGCCGAACCGUGCCAAAUUGGUAGUGGUUUCGGGGCGGGGCGUGACAUAAAGCAUGCAUGUUCAGUGUUCUAAAAUUCACAUAAAUCAUAUUUAACAUGAAUUUACAUUCAAAAAUACUUUACAAAAAGUUUAGAAGGCAUAGGGGCCAUUUUGUCCUAUUUUCAUGAAGUCAAACCCACCGAUGACAACGAAACCCCUCGGUUGCUCCAACGAGGGUGUCCUCUAGUCUCCUAGCACCCUAAGGAUGUAGGAACAAGUGUCAAACAAGGCUUACGAACAAGGCUAAGCUCAAACAUUAAGCUUCUCUAGCUAGGUUGGAGAAAACUCACCGAAAGCUAAAGAAUCUCUCUCGAUCUCCAAAAGGGAAUUAGAUUCCUUCAAAUCCAACCUAAAUCAAAGUUCUAAACCAAUCAAUUUGGUUCCAAAGCCCUCAAAUCAAAAAUUCCCAUUUUUUAACCCUAAUAUGCCAAAUCUAGGGUUUGAUCUAGUAGAAGCUACCAAAACUUAAUCCAAAGAAAAGAUUAGGCUUACUAACCUCACAAAAAGCUCAAAACCAAGCUCCAAGUUCCCUAGGGUUGAAGGUUGAUCUCCAAAGAAGCUCCAACCAAGAUCUCAAGCUUCUUCAAUGGUGGAAAACCCACAAAAGCAAGAAAGAGUGGAGAAAAGAGAUCAAAACCCACAAAGAAAACCAUCAAAAAUGGAGAAGAAUCUAAAGGGGAGAAGUUCUCACCUAUUCUCCACUGGUCUAGGGCUCAAAAGAGCUCACAAGGGGGCUGGGGUGUGCUUAAAUAGAGGUUGCAACAAUUGCAAAAACACCCCCCACGAAACAGCCCAGAAUCUGCAUUGUGUACCGGUACACGGGAAAGUGUACCGGUACACCUCCUGCGAAACUGCCCAACCCGAGCCUCGGGUUGGCAGAAAAUCUAUUGUGUACCGGUACAACCAUCAAGGCGUACCCGUACAAAAUCUGUACCGGUACAACCAUCAAGGCUGUACCGGUACACAGCCUGGCUGAGGCUAAUCCGAGAGUACUCCAACAAUCCAACCUUUUGGAAUUUUGGUACAGGUUUAAACCCUCAAUUCUCGGGAUGCGAGCCAUAGGUCGGAACACUGUCUACGACCCUUCAGAAAGUCUGAAAUAGCUCGGCACACAGAUCAAACACUCGAACCUCGCGAUUUGCAGAGGUCCAGUGUGCUACAGGUGUACUCCGGAGUGUAGACACCACGGAGAGCGGCCCCGUCAUUUGUUCCCUCGGGUGGUAGUGCUAGUAGCCUCCCCCGAUAGACGGGAAUUGUGGUUUGUGAGAUUCGGGGUGAACCAGGAGUACCUCGGGAUGAUUGGGUAAAGGCCAAUAGAAAAAAAAAUGAAUAACAAAGGACAUACAUGCAUUAGAUUCAUGUAUUGAAUAUCUAUGUAAGGAAGUAAAUUCUCGAAAUACGAGAGUUGGGCUUCGGUUAGAAUCGACUGAUUGUCGACUUGGUGUGCUUCGGAAAAGCCGAAGGCAUCAAAAUGGCCAAGGGUACAUUGUUGGGGGUUUUCGAGAGUUAAAGAAUCAAAAAUCUGCAUACUGCAGCUUUUGAGCUCUCGGGGACCGGUCCCUGAUGGGAAAGACCGGUCCCCGAACGCGAAGAAUCUCAGAGAUGGGAAAAAUCGGCUAAGUCCCAGAAGAGCCGGCUCUCAGGAACCAGUCCCUGCGGGGAGAGUGUAAUAUAUGGAAUCUUGGAGUUGCGAUGUCAACUUUGAUCUGGGGGAUCAAAGAGAGGCUUGAGUUAGUUGGACAUCAUCCCCGAGUGAUUUUGAAUGCGUGGGAAUGAAUUCCGAAAAUAAAUAAGUGUUUCGGCACAAAUUGGGCGCGAAACGACUUCGAAGGAAAAUUGUUGGACUAUGAGGUUUCUGUUGAUUAAAGUGAGCAAAAUAAUAUAAAAUUAAGUGUGAAUAAAAAUGGGGUGAGAUACUAUUUUUAUUAGACUUAAGAGUGUAAAAUAUAAGUUUGGAAUGACUCGUGUUGAAAUCGGAGCGAAAACAGAAUAUUUAGAAUUUUCUGUAAAGAACGGGGCUGAUAUUUUAGCAGAAAAUGAACAGUGUCAGAAAAUUAUGAAAAUUGGAGAAUAUGUCAGAAUUAUUUUUAUGAGGCUAGAUUUAAAGUUUCAUGUUAUUCUGACACCCGGAAGAUAGAAAAUAAAAUCCGACUGUUAUCUACUAGAGAUAACAGUUCGGUAGAGCAUUCGGUGACCAAAAAUGGUCGGAACUGAAAGAUUAAAAUUUUUUUAGUUCUUGUUAUAUUAAAUUGAGUCUGACUGUCAAAUUUGAGCUCAAACGGAUAUUCAGAGGGUUCAGGCGAAAAGUAUCAGAUUCUGAAUUGAGAUCAUAUUUAAUUAAGGCUAUUGUAAAGGGUUUAUAUGCAAUUGUUUAGAGCUUAUCCAUAAAACCCAACCCUCCACUAGCUACCUGCGUACAGGAAGCUUCUCUCACCCUCUUUUUUUUUUAUCUUCUUCUCCUUCUCUCUCUAGAGGACUUGGGUUGAGAGCUUUGGGAGGGGAAUUAAAAGAGAAGUUGAAUGGAAACUUGGUGGAAUUGGAGAAGAUGUAGCUCCAGCCCAUGAGGAGCUCAAGUGGCCAUGAGUCAAAGUGGGUUAUCUUGUAAUUUCUGGUUGGGGCUUGAUGUAAAUCUCCUUUAGUACUUGUUUUUGAGGUUCUUAUGUGGUUUUCUUGAUUGGUUGAGCUUGUAGCUGCCAUGAAAAUCAUAGAAAAAGCUUUAUGUAUCAUGUGUGAAGGUUGGCAGAUGGGAAGUAGCUUGCUGAAAUUUGACAACCUGAGGUAAGGUUGUUAUAUUCUCUUGAUUAGGAUAUGUUAUUUACCCUAAUAAGGAUUAAGCUAUGGAUUCUUAAUUGCUAAAGUUAGUAGUUACCAUGAGAAACCUAGAGAAAGCCUAGAAUAGGCCUAUACACAUUGUGUAUAAGAACCUGGCAGGGAAAAGAAAAAAAAAUGAUGAGUAAAUUAUAAUUCCUGAUUAAGGUUGAUGAAUAUACCUUAAAGUAAUUAGUUUUGGAGUAGUAGAGUUCUUGAACUCUAAAACUUUUUAAAAGUUAGAGUUUAUGUUAUUAUGAAAAGGAACUUGGAGAAACCAUGUGACAGUACAUAUGAACUUUGGUUAAAAGAGUUAUCACGUAAAUUUGGGUUAGGGUUUGAUAUAAAAUCCUCUAAACUAAUUUGUUUGAAGUUCUUUGGUUGUUAGAGUUGGUGAUACUCUAUAGGUUCUUAUAGAACCUGUAUAGGAAAAUUUGUAUAGUAAUAGGUUAAUUGGAACCUAAGCUCGAUAAUGCACUUUUGUAGGAUUGAGGUUCUCGCUUGGAAAUGAUCGUGUAUAAACCUAAUUGGGGGUAAAGCGAACGCGUUGGUGAAGUCGGUUCAGCAAUCCGUCGAGCCUACGCGAAGAUAUCGCCAAAAGGACGUUUUCGGCAUCAAUUGUCGCGAGCGCGGAUCGCGAUUCUUGGGAGAGUGCGGGAAGUGGAUUUCUCGCGUUCCGGUAUCAAGUAAAGGUGGGUUGUGCUUUACCGAAGCGAUUAGGUCGCUUCCAUGCCAAAGUAAUUUAUGGUUUUUAUUGAUGCAUAUAUUUAUAGUGGUAGGUUAUGAANCGUUCCGGUAUCAAGUAAAGGUGGGUUGUGCUUUACCGAAGCGAUUAGGUCGCUUCCAUGCCAAAGUAAUUUAUGGUUUUUAUUGAUGCAUAUAUUUAUAGUGGUAGGUUAUGAAUGAUGAAAUGAAAGCAUGAAUUGUGAUAUAGUAGCUAAGUUACCUACCAUUGGAAUAUGCAUAUGAAUAUAUUGAUGAUCAUAUUGAAUGACAUAUGAAUACUGACCUAUUAUGAACAUGCUAGAUACAUAUGAAAUAAGUAUGAGUCGAUAACUCUAGUUGAUUAGAAAUCUCGACGGUGACAAAAUAAAUGAAAACGUGUAAACUAUGAUCCUAGGCGUGGAUAACUAGGAUAAUAUAUAGAUUAAGUGGCAUGAACCUAGUAUUAUUAAACAUAGGUUGGACAUGAACCUAGUGUCAUUGGAUAUAGGUCAAGUAAGUAAACCUAGAGUCGAGAUCUAGGUGAAAUGACAUAGAACCUAGCAAGUGAACCUAGGUUAUGAUGUAUAGUGAGACUUAGUGUAUCUGAACUAAGUUGUGGAUUUUAGUGGUAUAAUGACCACUAGGAAAUGAUUGAUUUAGACCUAGGAAGGUCGACAAUAUAGGGUAAGUGUUAAACCCUCAAGUUGUGGAAACAGAUUCCGGAAUCCCAAGACCUGUGACGACCUUGGUGUCAAGGCUAGGGCGUGUGCGACGAUUUCGCCGCCGAGGUUGAUACCAAUGGAGGAUUGGGUGUGUGCGCAGAGUUCACCACUCGGAGGCUUGAACCAUUGUUCGGCGUGUGCAACGAUUUCGCCGCCAGAUGGUUAAGCCAGCUUGUGAAUUAUGCCGCUAGAGAUUGACUUGAACCAUUGUUCGGCGUGUGCGACGAUUUCGCCGCCAUAUGGUUAAGUCAAUGAGUGCGGUGCCAGUGCGCGGUAGCCCGCAAAUGAUUGACUCGAGGCCGAGUCGGGCGGCUAGCUUGGUUAAGGCGGUAGAAGCCUUAAAAGCUAAAGAUAAAUAGCAAGAGCUAAGGAAGUGGAAUCCUUAGUAGCAAGGGGACUCGAAUUGUGAACCUAAGGUAGUAGAAACCUUAGAGCUAAACGACAUGAGCUAUGAUUAGCAGAAUUGAAUGUAGAAUCAAUAGAUCUACUUGUUACAUAGUUGCAUAAUUUGCAUAUUGCAUAUCGUGAGGCAUACAUGUUUUAAUAUCUAGAUAAAUUAUUUGUUAUUAUUUGUUGGACUAACAUGUUACAGUGCAUCCUUUGGACCUGGUGGGUCGAGCUCUUCCCUUGGGUGGCUGUACCCACUGGGAACUAUAUUUAUAUAGUUCUCACCCCCGUGUUGUUUUUGGGGGUACAGGUUCGUACGUGAGCGGCGCGGCGGCACGAGGAUAGGGCGUAGCUCCAUAGAUAGCGCCCUACCACUGAGACCGAGAUAGCAAUACCCUGAAGAGGUCUAGCUCAGUUCAGAUUAAAAGAAUCAAAUUUGUAGUAAAUUGUAUAAGUUGUAAUUUGUAAAAAGGCUUAUGUAAUAACUUAAAGGUAUUUGUGAUAUUGUAAAUUGUAAUAAAUCUCUGAGAUGAAUGCAUGUAAUAGCAUAGUUAGCAUUUUAUGUUUUUGAUACUUAUGCAAUCUAUAUGCUUGCUACUGUUCCUGGUUGGAACCUCGCGUAUUGCAUUGUUUAGAUUGUGACGCCUAGAACGUACAGGAAAAGCUCUGUCCAUUCGGCGGUCUGCCGGCGUGCCCGAAUCCGACCAAAUAGGCGGAGCUCGGGGGGUAACAGAGAGACCGGUCCCCGAGAGACCGGUUCUAUCAGGAGGGACCAGUUGUUCCAUGCGAAAGCUCCGCUGAGCUGCGGGAGAGCUCUCUGGGACCGGCCCCAUGCUCGAGAGACCGGUCCCCGUAGCCCGAAAUUUUCCAGGUUGGGCUGUGUCAUGUUGGUAAAGUUGAGGGGUUUUUAUGUAAUUGUAGCAUGAGUUGGGGCUAUAUGAGGGUGAGCUCUCUCUCUCUUUCUUAUUUCUCUCCCAACCUCAACCCUAACUCCCUCUCUCUCUCUAUACUCUCUUCCUCUCUCUCUAGAAGGUGAAGAAGAGAAUGGUUUUGGUAGAGAAUCAAGCUGGGAGAAGGAUUUUCAUCUUCUUCUUCUUCCUCUACACCUUGGAGCUAACUUUUGGAGGUGUUUAAACGCGUAGGCGAAGGCGGUUCGACGAUUCGUCGAGUGGGUGCAAAGUUACGGACAAAAAGGACCUUCCGAGCUUCGUUUCUACCUAGGAGGUCGAGACGACGUCGUAAAAUCGGCGAACUUCAUUCCUAGAGUUGUGACAACGCCAUGUUGUAGUAAGUUACAUCUUCACUUACCUUUCGCUUUUUUUACUUUUAUAGUCACUGACAUCUUUUGUAGCUUUGGGCCUCGUGGUGCAUUCACUGAAGUCAGUAAUUGCCCACUGGGAACUAUUUUUUUUAUAGUUCUCACGCCCCUGUUUUGUGGUUUACUUUUCAGAGCCUUUGGCACCUGCGGAGGCACGGGAUCGCGGCAAGGGGAUCGCUUAGCUAGCUAACGAGGAGCGGUACUUUGCCUAGGUGGUUUACUCUUUCUUUUGUAGUUGAGAGAGUGAGAGGUUUUUGUAUCCAUGUAUAGAGACCACCUAUGUAUCUACGUAUAGCACUUGUAUCUGGGAUUUCCUUGUAUCACUUUAUGUUUUAUUUAGUGGAUGUACAGUUUUAUCCUUAUCCCUUGUUGUAGCAUUUAGAUAUUUAUUAUGCUCUGAUACUCCUAGAUGUCUAUUGUUAUUGCUUUUAUUAUUGUUGUUUUUAGACGCCUUAUAUGUUUUAGACGUAUGGCGGGUUUGGGCACGUGCCGCGCGGGCUUCCGCUGGGUCCCGGGGCGUGACAGAUUAAUUUGGUAUCAGAGCGUAGGGUUGAGUCUUAGGGGACCUAGCAAACCUUAGGCCGGUUGGACUAUAGGAAUUAGACUCGUGAGAGACGGGGUCUAUUCGACUUGUAAGCGAAAGUAUCUUGAUUGGGUAUCUUGGAUAACUCUAGAAAGUGGAGUUAAAUCGAAGUGUUUGACUUCUAACUUCGCGGAGCGUUACGUUGGCGGCCGACAACGUAACAUCGGGAGUUAGUAGCGAAGAACACUUCUUUACUUUCGCAUGAUUUGGGGUUUGUCUUUUGAGCGGGGAUGCGAUAGUGUGAGUAUUUCUAACUUGCGCUUUUAUGAUGUUGUAGUGACGAUGCCGAUUACUCGCUCCCAAUCUGCCGGGGCGGACAAUGCGGCAAAUUUUGAGGAGGUCGAGACCUCCGCUACCUCCGGAUCCAGCGAGGUCCGUGAGUUGAGGGGCCAGCUUGCGGCCCUCACUGAUUUGGUCACUCAGCAGGCGGAGGCGGCCCGACAGCAGACUGAGGCGGCGCGCCGGCAGGAGGCGCGGAUGAAGCGUCUGGAGGACUUGCUCCUACAGCAGGCGACAGCUUCUAGGGAGACUCAGGCCCCUACACCACCAGCACCAGUUGUGGACGUUGCACCGAGAGCGCCGUCCCCCGCGCCCAGUUCUUCGCGUGCGGCGCCUGCGGCCGCACCCCCGGAGAAGGUUUUGGUAGCACCGCCUGUGCAGAGGCCCCCGGUUGGAGCAGCUUUCCCUACCUUGGUUGAGGGGGCGGAGCGAGAUAGACUGAUGGAGCACCUCAAUGAGUUCAGGAGGUGCAGCCCCCGAGUCUUCGACGGCGAGAAAGUCGACCACUGGAUCGUGGAGAAGUGGUUGAUGCAUAUGGAGAAGCUCUUCCGCGACACCUUCGUGGAGGAGAUGGACAGAGUUUGGCUCGCCACUCACCACUUGGACGGCGAGGCCUACCGCUGGUGGUUGGAUUUUCAGGAGCACCCCAGCACUGACUUGGCAUCUAUCACCUGGACGAGGUUCAAGGAGCUUCUUCUGGCGCACUAUUUCCCGACAAGCGUCAAGAGGAAGAUGGAGCAGGAUUUGCGCAGCUUGCGCCAGGGUGACAGGACCGUAGCCGAGUACGAGAGGGAGUUUUCUCGGCUUCUGCAUUGCGUGCCCUUCGUCGUGCGGGAUGACGAGGACAAGGCCCGCAUCUUCGAGCGAGGGUUGCGACCGGCGAUUUUCUGGUUUGUGCAAUCCUCUAACCUCCAAACCUACCGGGAGGUGGUGGAUCGCGCGCUCAUCGUGGAGAGCGGCGCAGCAGAGGUCCAGGAGCAGCGAGAGGCUAGGGACAAGGGUAAGGCCAAGAGGCCUGCGGCUGAGGGUGCGAGCCAGGCGCACUCUAGGAGGCCGCAGAAGCAUCCGAGGAGCCAGCACCGUGGACGCGGCUCAGCAGCACAGCGAGGAGGAUCUGAUCGGCGCCGGCCUUCCCCGUGUGUGAUCUGCGGUGGUCCCCAUUACCCACCGCAGUGUCCACAGCGGGCGGGUAGGUGCUUCCAGUGUGGCCAGGAGGGCCACGUCCGUACCGAGUGCCCGAGAUGUUCUUCACCGGCACCGUCGACUGCAUAGGCACCGGCUCUACCAGCCGGUGCCAGGGGACUUCAUUGGCACAGUAUCAGCCUGGGCGGCCACCCGUCCAGCGCCAGAGCGAGGGAUCUCGACAGGCCCCGAGUGGGCACAUGUACGCCGCUCAGACCGAGGAGGCGGCAGCAGCCGAGGAUGUGGUUGCAGGUAUCAUUUUACUUGAUGGCAUUAGAGUUCGUGCUUUAUUUGAUACCGGUGCAUCGCAUUCAUUCAUAGAUCAGCUGUUUGCCAAGUUGCAUGGCAUCCCGUUGGUUUCUUUGUUGCAUACGGGACACGUUGUACCCGACCAUAUUUUGGAUAUUAGAGAGUAUAGCCCCAGUUGCCCUGUUCGGGUAGGAAAUUGGAUUAUGGCUGUAGAUUUGCUAGCUUUGCGCAAGCUGGGGGAUUUUGACGUGGUCUUGGGCAUGGAUUGGUUGACCAAGUAUUAUGCUACGAUUGAUUGUAAGAAUCGCACGGUUACUUUUAGAGAACCGGGACAGACCGAGGUGGUAUUUCGUGGAUGCCGGAGUUCGCUGUUUGCAAUGACGAUCAGCUCAUCUCGAGCUAGGCAGCUGAUUAGCAGAGGUUGCGUAGCCUAUUUGGCUAGUGUUGUGCUGAGGGACGAGGAUGACACCCCUAGGAUCGAGGAUAUCCCAGUGGUACGAAAGUUCCAGGAUGUGUUUCCAGCUGAGCUACCGGGUAUGCCUCCUGAUAGGGAGAUUGAGUUUGUGGUAGAUCUCGUCCCUGGGACUACCCCAAUAUCAAAGGCACCUUAUAGGAUGGCAUCGGCAGAGCUGAGGGAGCUGAGGGCACAGCUGCAGGAUUUGUUGGACAAAGGCUUCAUUCGACCGAGCGUUUCACCAUAGGGAGCACCCGUUUUGUUCGUCAAGAAAAAGGACGGAUCACUUCGCCUUUGCGUGGAUUAUUGUGAACUUAAUAAGGUCACGAUCAAGAACAAGUAUCCGUUGCCGAGGAUCGACGACUUGUUUGAUCAGCUUCAGGGAUCAUGUGUGUAUUCUAAGAUUUACUUGCAGUCGGGAUACCACCAGUUGAAGAUCAAACCCGAGGAUGUAUCGAAGACGGCUUUUAGAACACGGUAUGGACAUUACGAGUUCACAGUUAUGCCGUUCGGGCUUACUAAUGCCCCGGCAGCUUUUAUGGACCUAAUGAACCAUGUUUUCAAGCCUUAUCUAGACAGGUUCGUCGUGGUGUUCAUCGACGACAUUUUGGUCUACUCUCGAAGUGAUGCAGAUCACGAGGAGCAUUUGAGGAUUGUACUCCAAGUACUUCGGGAAAAGGAGCUUUAUGCCAAGUUGAAGAAAUGUGAAUUUUUGCUUCGAGAGGUAGCUUUCCUUUGACACUUGAUUUCGGGAUCGGGUAUAGCCGUGGAUCCCAAGAAGAUUGAAGCAAUCAAGGAUUGGCCGAGACCGACGAGCGUCACGGAGAUACGAAGCUUCCUUGGAUUGGCCGGUUACUACCGGAGAUUUGUAGAGGGGUUUGCUAAACUGUCUACUCCCCUCACGAGGCUCACGCACAAAGGAGUCAAGUUCAUUUGGAAUGACGCGUGCGAGCGAAGCUUCCAAGAGUUGAAGCAGAGAUUGACGACCGCCCCGAUCUUGACCCUACCAGUAGCUGGAGCAGGGUAUGUGGUUUAUAGUGAUGCUUCACUUAAUGGAUUGGGCUGUGUAUUGAUGCAGGAUGGCAAGGUGAUCGCGUAUGCUUCUCGCCAACUAAAGGAAUAUGAGAAGAACUACCCAACGCAUGAUUUGGAGUUGGCGGCCGUAGUGUUCGCAUUGAAGCUAUGGCGCCACUAUCUUUAUGGCGAGCGGUGUGAAGUAUACACGGAUCACAAGAGCUUAAAGUACCUAUUUACUCAGAAGGAGUUGAACUUGAGGCAGCGCAGAUGGUUGGAGCUACUCAAGGAUUAUGAUCUGACGAUUCUUUACCACCCGGGCAAGGCUAACGUGGUGAUAGAUGCGCUAAGUAGGAAAUCGAUGGAAAACUUAGCGAUGCAUGUUGUGACUCAACCGCAGUUGAUCGAGCAGAUGAAGCGGUUGGAGUUGGAGGUGGUGACUCCUGACACACCCUUGAGAUUGAUGACUUUGGUAGUGCAACCUACUCUUUUGGAUAGAAUUAAAGAAAAGCAAGCUUCCGAUGUAGAGUUGCAAAAGAUUCGAGGUAUGAUGGUUGAUGGUUGCACCGGCGACUUCCUUUUGGACGAUCAGGGAUUGAUGCGUUUCCGUGGGCGGAUUUGUAUACCCGCGGAUUCGGGG
rnacentral:lncRNA from 1 species